UACGUAGGGUCCAAGCGCUAUCCGGAUUUACUGGGCGUAAAGAGAUGCGUAGGCGGGAAUUUAAGUGAGAUGCGAAAUCCUGUGGCUCAACCAUAUGGACUGUAUCUCAUACUGGAUUCCUUGAGGACGGCAGAGGCAAGUGGAAUUUCUGGUGUAGCAGUGAAAUGCGUAGAUAUCAGAAGGAACACCAAUGGCGAAGGCAGCUUGCUGGGCCGUACCUGACGCUGAGGCUCGAAAGCGUGGGGAGCGAACAGG
rnacentral:rRNA from 1 species